AACACAUGCAAGUCGAACGGAGAUUAGACGCUGACGAGACUUCGGUCAAAUCUUGUUUAAUCUUAGUGGCGGACGGGUGAGUAACGCGUGGGCAACCUGCCUCAUACUGGGGGAUAGCAGUUGGAAACGACUGAUAAUACCGCAUAAGCGCACAGCAUCGCAUGAUGCAGUGUGAAAAACUCCGGUGGUAUGAGAUGGGCCCGCGUCAGAUUAGCUAGUUGGUAAGGUAACGGCUUACCAAGGCGACGAUCUGUAGCCGGACUGAGAGGUCGGACGGCCACAUUGGGACUGAGACACGGCCCAAACUCCUACGGGAGGCAGCAGUGGGGGAUAUUGCACAAUGGAGGAAACUCUGAUGCAGCGACGCCGCGUGAGUGAAGAAGUAUUUCGGUAUGUAAAGCUCUAUCAGCAGGGAAGAAAGGCUCUAAGGAGAGAUGACGGUACCUGACUAAGAAGCCCCGGCUAACUACGUGCCAGCAGCCGCGGUAAUACGUAGGGGGCAAGCGUUAUCCGGAUUUACUGGGUGUAAAGGGAGCGCAGACGGUUAUGCAAGUCUGAAGUGAAACCCCACGGCUCAACUGUGGGCUUGCU
rnacentral:rRNA from 1 species